CUCUUCACCUCUGGCGUUGCUGCUACCGCGGCCUUUUUCCUUUCCUCUCAUCGCUACAGCAAAUUGCUGUUCUUGCGGUGCAUUUCCCUCCCCUGCCGCCGCUGCGGCUCUUCACCUCUGGCAUUGCUGCCACCGCGGCCUUUUUCCUUUCCUCUCAUCGCUACAGCAAAUUGCUGUUCUUGCGGUGCAUUUCCCUCCCCUGCCGCCGCUGCGGCUCUUCACCUCUGGCGUUGCUGCCACCGCGGCCUUUUUCCUUUCCUCUCAUCGCUACAGCAAAUUGCUGUUCUUGCGGUGCAUUUCCCUCCCCUGCCGCCGCUGCGGCUCUUCACCUCUGGCAUUGCUGCUACCGCGGCCUUUUUCCUUUCCUCUCAUCGCUACAGCAAAUUGCUGUUCUUGCGGUGCAUUUCCCUUCCCUGCCGCCGCUGCGGCUCUUCACCUCUGGCGUUGCUGCCACCGCGGCCUUUUUCCUUUCCUCUCAUCGCUACAGCAAAUUGCUGUUCUUGCGGUGCAUUUCCCUUCCCUGCCGCCGCUGCGGCUUUUCACCUCUGGCGUUGCUGCCACCGCGGCCUUUUUCCUCUUAUCACCCUUCUGCUUUCAAACCUACCAUGCACAAAAGAAAGAUGAAAAGGGAGACAUCCUUGCUCAAACCACGACAUUCGUUGCAAACGGUAGGACUAGUUCAAAGCAGGAAAAUAAGGGAGUCCAAAGAUAUGGAGGAUCGGGUCGAGAAAUAUGGUUGUCAUGGUGGAAGUUGUCCGUUGGAGAUAUGUUUGGUUGGAAGAGGUUGGCAGAUGUUGAUCCAGUUGGUG
rnacentral:lncRNA from 1 species